GCCCAUUCUGCCCGUCUGUCCGUCUAUCUGUCCGUGUGUCAUUACAGUAAAUCAGAGGGCUCUUCGGCUUUAUCCCAACGUCCUUCUGGCCCCGAGACGGCUGGAGCAGAUGUUGGAGCCCGGGACAAAAUGGAUUUCCCCCUGCCGAGAGCAGCUUUUCUUGCCCUUCUUAAUGGAGGCUCCUUGAAAUGCUAAUGCCGUCGCAUUACUGCAGCGGUGGUCCGGCAUAGUGAUGGUGGGAACAAAAAGCCACCCUUUUGUCACUGGAAAUAUACUUCACUUCAUUAGGAGAACUGCCAGCGAGCUUGUGGUCCAAGAUAGCAAGUUGAUGACUCACUCAUGGGCCUUGCUGGACCAACCAAUGUCAAGUUCAUUUGGGCCAUGCCAUGGGAUCAGAUGGGCACUCCGAAUGCUGUGGAACCAAAAGAAGCUAACUAGCACCCCCUUUUGAAAGAGAAAAACAGCAUUUCAUCCUUGGACUCAUCUGCUCGUCUGAUCCAUUUCUGUUUGAAGGCGUUGGAGGUCAAAGAGGAGCUGGUGGUCCAGGCUGCAGAGGGGAGGGGCGGGGCUUGGGAGGGCUCUCUGGAGUGCGCAGUGUAAACUGGUUGGUGGGUCGGUCAGGUGCAGCGCCACCAGUGAUCAUUAGGGUUACAGCUGCCCAGGCCAGAUUGUGUGCUGCCUGCACCGGGCGAGAUGUUUUGCCCAGGGAGAAGAGCGAGCAUCUGUCUGUCCCUCCCCGUAGACAGUAACCUCCUACCAGCCUGUCCAAGUCAACCCAACUAGUAACAAGGUCACCCAACUCCUACUUUCUCUUGCUCGCUCAUGCACAGCUGCUCUCUGCUGCCCUCUACGUCUCGCCAUUGUUAUCUCUCCGUCUUAAGACGGGGCACAAUCAGACGUAGGGCAAUACUUCAUUUGCAAAACUGUACAAACGACUUAGUUAUCUGAGUCCAGUGCUAAUUGCAUAAUUUGAUCCCCGUUGAUAAAGCACACUUUCAUCAUUAGGAAAAUAAUUGGUUUCGGCAACUAGAGGGCUUAAUUUUUUAAGCACCAUUGUUCGUUCUUAUUGCGUCACACAAGAGCAAAAUUAUAAUUAUGCACAAAGCCCAAAGGGUUCGCCGCCGUACUUCUGAUUUCUUUUUCUCAAGUUGCAUCUACUUUUUAAAGGCUUUCGGUGUUGGUGUGAUGAUUGGAUGCAUGAAGUGAUGGAUGCUAAUCUCGAUGAUCUGGCUUUGCUUUUGUGAGAAUAAUCUUACCCGGUAACAGAUGACACUUGGCCAGUGCGAAUCGUCAAUCAAAUGUAGUGUUCCCUCGACAACAAUAAACACUUAAUGGGAAUGUUAAACGUUGAACAAGGUUAAGCAACGCAGUUUGGCCCUUGAUUGGCUUAGAAAUUAAAUACCAUUCCACAAGAACAAGCAACCGAAUACACAUAUGAGUUUUUGAACAUAUUUAAAAGAAAAAAGAGUUAUGGAUCAAGAUGGACAGCAUCAUUUAGAAUCAAUUGUUAACCCAGUUGAAUGAGGAACAGAAAGAAGAAAGCUGAAAACAGGUGUGACACCAACUUUGUGCCUCACAGGAGACAAUAAAAGCCUUGGUCAAGGGCACAGCACCUGGACCAUUGUUUUAGCCCACAAACUGGCUUUUAAGUGCAAAUUUCCACUUGGUCCUAAAGGAGACCUGGCCUGCACACUUGCUUCACUCAUCUCAACCAAUAUGUGAUCCCUUCUCAUUUGCAUAAUGGGUAGAAUGCAAAUGAGGGGGCCAGCUUUGUCGAACCAAGACAAAAAGAAGAAAGAAAAAAAAGGAGUGGGGGGGGGGGCAGACUGCUGCCAUCCUGCUGAAUCGCAUCUGUAACGACACAAAGCCGUAAUAUAUCUUGGCCCUCAUUUUAGCGGUGAUCACAGCUUAUAUUGAGCACUUCAAGGGUCAAUAAUAGAUAAUUAUACAAUAUAAAGACUAAUUUAAGCAAUCUACCUAAGAACAUUUAGCUUUCUUAACUUAUAACAGGAUUUAUACAUUUUCCUCAAACUGAUUGACUUACUGGAAGUGAUUGCUUUGUGCUGGCUCUUUUGCCAGCAUCAUAUUUGCUCAAUUGGGUCUCCCAGUCUGUUUAGCAAGAUAUGAAAUGAUGCUUGGAUGAGAGCUAAAGUUGAAUGGCACAAGUUUUUUUUUUUUUUGCACAAAAGGCAUAUAUGGUAUCAGACAUACUGUAACAAGAAAGCAUUAUAGUUGCAAUAGUGUUGUCAUUUAGACAACAAUAAAUAGAUCAUGGAAUGUUUAGAAGCAUAUCUCCGAAAGAAAGACUAAAUAAAUCCCUCUCUGAUGUUGACUGAUCUGUUUUCUAGUUCUCUACUUAACGUCCCAAUAUGAUAAGUACUACAAUGAUAUUUGCAUUAAUCCAUCGCUUAGACUCCCCUUGUACCUUCCCUUUGCCACAUUGCCACUCGGGCUCAUAGGUAUUUACUUUAGAUUAAUCUUCAUGAGCUUCUUAGCAUCCGGAAACACGUUUGCGUACAUUCUUACAUGGACAAAUACUCGUAGAGACUAAACCCUGUUGCCUUGUUCUCGUGGAAGGUAGAUUAUCUGCGAAUGUACGGGGAAAUUUCUCCAGGGAUGUUUUUUGGCGGCGAGUAAUAAAACUCGGAGUGUGUUGCCUUUGCCAAGCUGAGACAUCUGGUCACCUUAUCACAGAUAAGUGGGGGUUAGUCCUGGCAUCUGCUAGAAUUAAUCCAUUUUGCAAACACCGUUAUCCUAAUCUCCUAAAUAUGUCAGUCCACAACUGUAGUGUAAGGCACUAGGUAUCGUUUUUCCAUCUCGAGAAGGUUGAUGUCCUUAAGCGUGUCUAGUCGUGACACUAGGUGUAGAAGUGCGGGACAAGAAGACGUCACGGGGUCCACCUGGCCAACAAAUUCAAGUACCAAGUGUGCUCCGCAACUCGCUACCUAACAUCUCUCCAUAAAUAUUCAUGCGGGCGGAUUUGUCUUUUGUUGCAUGCCUAGUCAGCAGUCACAGAACACAUGGUGAGUGUUGGCAGUGGCCAGCCUAGGUAGAGAGGCCGCGGACGGAGGCAGUGGCAGGAACCAGGACCUGUGAGGCUGACUGACAUUUCCAUCUGUGGCGAGGCCUGGUAAUUAUCGGGGAGAGGAGCGCCCGCAGCAGCGCGCCAUCUGCUAGGGGAGAUGGCUCAAUGAGGUAUGAGCACGAGCGGCGCUCCGUCGGGCCACUGCCUGUCUCUGACAUGAGGGCUCGCAUCUGCUACUGAGGAGCCGGGCCGCCCAACACAGCCUGCCUGGCUGGCCGGGAGAGGGGGCUGACAGGAGGGGGAAGAGCAGCCAACAGCCCCUUUGACACCCCCACUAUACUUCCACCACCGCCCGACGUCGUUCGUAACCGUCGCUGCCCCUGCUGAAGACGCACUUGACAAACCUACUGACAAGUUUUGGGUUGCUCUCUGGUUCUAGCUCUUAAUACGGAAUUCAAAUUUGUCUAACCUUGCGUUUAAAGCCAGACUUUUUUUUUUUAACUCAAGUAUUUACCUAAAUAUUUAUUCAAGUAUUCUUGGAAAAGACACCUGGUGCAUUUUCAUUCUUACAAGUUUAUUCUGGCGUAAUCGUGCAAGGUCACCAAGGUAAAUGAGGAAAGCUAAUGUUCCUCGUCCAUGUUUCAUGAUAGUUUUACUUGUUAUGGUCUGAAAGCUGCUCAGGUUGACAAAUUUGAGAUUUUUAGGGAGCAAAACUUAACACGUAUAAUUGUUUUGAGCUUGUCAUACCUGGUCAAAAUGGUUGGCACAAUCUCAGAGUACUACGUUUCCCCCAAAACCUACACCUCACUUGCUUUCACCCUGACAUACCCAAUUAGGUGUAUGCCGUUCCUAAUUAUGUUCAAUGAGUUUAGUCAGGCACCAGUGAACUCCAACCAUGUUGUAGAAGCAGCUCCAGGAUGGCUGACAACGGGUGCAUCGGUUCAGUACGAGGUCCCACUGCCCUGCGUGUCGUAGAUAAUUUGCUACUCCCGAACUGAUCUGAUUAAAAUAGUUGGAACAACAUUAAACUCCAGUUUACAAGCAGAAGAAUAUCUGAAAGUGUUUUGAAUUUGAAAUUGAUUUCUUCCAAUACUUUUGCUCAUCACAACUUCUGCAUGUGUAUUGAGCUAAAAAAUCAGAGCUUUACAUUCAGAACAGCCGCUCUCAAACAUUUUCAACAUCUGUCAUCUUGAAAAGAAGAUCUUUCGCAAGCUUUUGUGAUUGAUGUUUUCAUACGGUACAUACUUCCAACAUCUCGAGAGUCUCAAAAGUGUGAAACUAGCAAAGCGAGAGAAGUCAGAAAGCUUGCAAAGGAAGAGGGCGGAGUACGCUGAGUGAAAAGUGCAUCGCCUUGUCGCGGGAUUUUAUCAGACUAUUUGGACAGAUUGGUAGAAUUCGAAAUGCAGCAGGGGCUUGUGAUGUGGCAAUAAAGCGUUUGCUUUUGAUCCCGCCUCAGUUUUUUUCCCCCCCCAUUCCUACGCUGCACAUGUGCAUGUCAAAACGAAUUAGAUCAACCAAGAAGAGGCGAGGCAGCUGUGGUGCCGCGCAGCAAAACUUUACAUCACCUCAGUUUACCAACAGUCUGCUUCUUGUUGUCAUUGUCAAACUCGACAACGUGCAACUCCGCCGGCGCCGUCACCUGCUCGCGACAACAAACUUCAAGGUGUGUGAUCGAGAUGAAACGACACACAAAUAGAAUAUCCAUCUUUACACGUGCUUACAUUCCAAGCCGCAGCUGUCAAUUACCUACACGGCGAAAAAAAAAACCGCACUCUUUGAUAAGAAAAAUAUGAAGCAAGCCAACACCCACACUUGGAGUGGCUUUUUCAGAUGUCGUCGCACUUAGGAAAAAUUUGCCACGACACAUCGACGUGCCUAUUCCCCCAUUCAGCAGCAUUAACUCGGUGCCAUGUGUCGAACAAACGGAGGCCAUUUUGGAGCCCUUAAUGACAAGGCUGCUCGGCUCCUCUCCUCUCCCUCUCGCUCUUUUCAAAUUGCUCUCUAAAUGAAGUACAGCUGUGUGGACCAGGUGCUGCCUGCCUACCCCCAUCCCAACCCGCCGCCGCCGCCCCCCCUCUUUUUAGAAAGAACAGGAAAUUAUGAAAUCCCCCAAAUCCUUCACAAAUGGGCAGGAGGGAAGGUUGGAGAAUGUCAAGCUGCAUGUCUCUUGUCAGUGGAUGAGCUUUCAUUUAGGUUCGUCGCCAACGUUUUCGCCAACCCGACCCGGGACGUAUCUCACAUUUGAGUGUCAGUGGCCUACACUUUAUUUUGUGGAUGUAUUCAGGAGUUCCAUCCUUUUUUGCUUACAGAUUUGACAGCAGUGAGUGAAGUCUAUGUGGAGCAACAUUCAAUGAGCGCCGACGUUGGGUAGCUUGCAAUUACUGAAAAUAUUUGGCUCAUAUUUUGGUUUGUGUGGAAGCAGAUUAAUCAAGAGAUUUGAAACCUUUCUAGGGCACUCAUUAAAAAAUAUGUGGAAAUUCCAAGGUUUAACCUUCAAAGGAUGGGAAUGCCUAUUGCCAAAGAUAUGAAACAUUUUCAAGAUGUGCAAUACCUGUUUGUAACACUGAGUCAAUGUGUGCGCGAGAGAAGUGCUUGCAUUUUCUGGCAAUUAAUGCGAGCUCACUGCUGUGUGUUUGUGAAAAAACAAGCUCUUUUGCAUGUUUUAGUACAAGGGAUGGAUUAGUGAAUCAUAAUCAAACAUUCAUUGAACAGCACUAUUUGCCCCCAAUCCCCCUCCCCACCCCAACAUGCUGUCGCCAACUCAGGAGCCAAGCGAUCCGUUUUGAUGUGACCAUAAAUGUGCCCCAAAGCUGCACAGCUACAUUUGAUCAGUCGAAAACUU